rnacentral:rRNA from 1 species
ACUCCUACGGGAGGCAGCAGUGGGGAAUAUUGCACAAUGGGGAAACCCUGAUGCAGCCAUGCCGCGUGUGUGAAGAAGGCCUUCGGUUGUAAAGCACUUUCAGUAGGGAGGAAGGUAGUGUAGUUAACACCUGCAUUAUUUGACGUUACCUACAGAAGAAGCACCGGCUAACUCCGUGCCAGCAGCCGCGGUAAUACGGAGGGGUGCGAGCGUUAAUCGGAAUUACUGGGCGUAAAGCGCAUGCAGGCGGCCUGUUAAGUCAGAUGUGAAAGCCCGGGGGCUUAACCUCGGAAUUGCAUUUGAAACUGGCAGGCUAGAGUCUUGUAGAGGGGGUAGAAUUUCAGGUGUAGCGGUGAAAUGCGUAGAGAUCUGAAGGAAUACCAGUGGCGAAGGCGGCCCCCUGGACAAAGACUGACGCUCAGAUGCGAAAGCGUGGGGAGCAAACAGGAUUAGAUACCCUGGUAGGAUACCG